AUGCUUGCCCUGGCAGCACAUAUACUAAAAUCGGAAUGAUAUAGAGAUUAGCACGGCAAGAUUACCUGCAUAAAGACAACAUGCAAAUUCAUGAAGCAGUCCAUAAAUCU
rnacentral:snRNA from 1 species